AGGGCGUCCAGUCGCUGGGUGUAGACCCGAAACCAAGUGAUCUAUCCAUGGCCAGGAUGAAGGUGCCGUAACAGGUACUGGAGGUCCGAACCGACUAGUGUUGCAAAACUAGCGGAUGAGCUGUGGAUAGGGGUGAAAGGCUAAACAAACUUGGAAAUAGCUGGUUCUCUCCGAAAACUAUUUAGGUAGUGCCUCAAGUAUUACCUGCGGGGGUAGAGCACUGUUUAGGCUAGGGGGUCAUGGCGACUUACCAAACCUAUGCAAACUCCGAAUACCGCAGAGUACAGCUUGGGAGACAGAGCACCGGGUGCUAACGUCCGGACUCAAGAGGGAAACAACCCAGACCGCCAGCUAAGGUCCCUAAAAUUGGCUAAGUGGGAAACGAAGUGGGAAGGCUAAAACAGUCAGGAUGUUGGCUUAGAAGCAGCCAUCAUUUAAAGAAAGCGUAAUAGCUCACUGAUCGAGUCGUCCUGCGCGGAAGAUGUAACGGGGCUAAGCCAGUUACCGAAGCUGCGGAUUUGCAAUUUAUUGCAAGUGGUAGGAGAGCGUUCUGUAAGCCUGUGAAGGUGCCUGGUAACGGGUGCUGGAGGUAUCAGAAGUGCGAAUGCUGACAUGAGUAGCGUUAAAGGGGGUGAAAAGCCCCCUCGCCGUAAGCGCAAGGUUUCCUACGCAACGUUCAUCGGCGUAGGGUGAGUCGGCCCCUAAGGCGAGGCAGAGAUGCGUAGCUGAUGGGAAACAGGUCAAUAUUCCUGUACCGAUGUGUAGUGCGAUGUGGGGACGGAGAAGGUUAGCUCAGCCAACUGUUGGAUAUGUUGGUUCAAGCCUGUAGUCGUGCCUGGUAGGCAAAUCCGCCGGGCUUAGAUGAGGGGUGAUAACGAGUCUGCUUGCAGACGAAGUGAGUGAUACCCUGCUUCCAGGAAAAGCCACUAAGCUUCAGCUACACACGACCGUACCGCAAACCGACACUGGUGCGCGAGAUGAGUAUUCUAAGGCGCUUGAGAGAACUCUGGAGAAGGAACUCGGCAAAUUGAUACCGUAACUUCGGGAGAAGGUAUGCCGCAAGUAGGUGAACUUGUACAAAGGGAGCCCAAAGCGGUUGCAAAAAAUCGGUGGCUGCGACUGUUUAAUAAAAACACAGCACUCUGCAAACACGAAAGUGGACGUAUAGGGUGUGACGCCUGCCCGGUGCUGGAAGAUUAAAUGAUGGGGUGCAAGCUCUUGAUUGAAGUCCCAGUAAACGGCGGCCGUAACUAUAACGGUCCUAAGGUAGCGAAAUUCCUUGUCGGGUAAGUUCCGACCUGCACGAAUGGCGUAACGAUGGCCACACUGUCUCCUCCAGAGACUCAGCGAAGUUGAAAUGUUUGUGAUGAUGCAAUCUCCCCGCGGAAAGACGGAAAGACCCCAUGAACCUUUACUGUAGCUUUGUAUUGGAUUUUGAACGGAUCUGUGUAGGAUAGGUGGGAGGCUUUGAAGUGAGGACGCUAGUUCUCAUGGAGCCGACGUUGAAAUACCACCCUGGUGCGUUUGAGGUUCUAACCCAGGUCCCUUAUCGGGAUCGGGGACAGUGCAUGGUAGGCAGUUUGACUGGGGCGGUCUCCUCCCAAAGCGUAACGGAGGAGUUCGAAGGUACGCUAGUUACGGUCGGACAUCGUGACGAUAGUGCAAUGGCAUAAGCGUGCUUAACUGCGAGACUGACAAGUCGAGCAGAUGCGAAAGCAGGACAUAGUGAUCCGGUGGUUCUGUAUGGAAGGGCCAUCGCUCAACGGAUAAAAGGUACUCUGGGGAUAACAGGCUGAUACCGCCCAAGAGUUCAUAUCGACGGCGGUGUUUGGCACCUCGAUGUCGGCUCAUCUCAUCCUGGGGCUGUAGUCGGUCCCAAGGGUAUGGCUGUUCGCCAUUUAAAGAGGUACGUGAGCUGGGUUUAAAACGUCGUGAGACAGUUUGGUCCCUAUCUUCCGUGGGCGCUGCAGAUUUGAGGAAGCCUGCUCCUAGUACGAGAGGACCGGAGUGGACACACCUCUGGUGUAUCGGUUGUCACGCCAGUGGCAUUGCCGAGUAGCUAAGUGUGGAAGAGAUAACCGCUGAAAGCAUCUAAGCGGGAAACUCGUUUCAAGAUGAGAUCUGCCGGGGCCUUGAGCCCCCUGAAGAGUCGUUCGAGACCAGGACGUUGAUAGGCUGGGUGUGGAAGCGCAGUAAUGCGUUAAGCUAACCAGUACUAAUUGCUCGUGAGGCUUGACCCU
rnacentral:rRNA from 1 species